GUGGGGAAUAUUGGACAAUGGGCGAAAGCCUGAUCCAGCCAUGCCGCGUGUGUGAAGAAGGUCUUCGGAUUGUAAAGCACCUUAAGUUGGGAGGAAGGGCAGUAAGUUAAUACCUUGCUGUUUUGACGUUACCGACAGAAUAAGCACCGGCUAACUUCGUGCCAGCAGCCGCGGUAAUACGAAGGGUGCAAGCGUUAAUCGGAAUUACUGGGCGUAAAGCGCGCGUAGGUGGUUUUGUAAGUUGGAGGUGAAAUACCCGGGCUCAACCUGGGAACUGCCUCCAAAACUGCAUGACUAGAGUACGGUAGAGGGUAGUGGAAUUUCCUGUGUAGCGGUGAAAUGCGUAGAUAUAGGAAGGAACACCAGUGGCGAAGGCGACUACCUGGACUGAUACUGACACUGAGGUGCGAAAGCGUGGGGAGCAAACAGGAUUAGAUACCCGAGUAGUCC
rnacentral:rRNA from 1 species